CACAGCUCCCAUCUCAGAACAA
rnacentral:miRNA from 2 species